UUGCCGAUAUACCUGAAUGUAUGAAGCUUGCCCUUAUUCUCUUUGGUCAGAUGUAUCAUAUCUAUUCCUAGAAUGUAUGUUCCUGAAUGUAUAAACCAAUUUGAGUUAAUAAAAAACUAAAGUGCUAAUGACAACAAGACACUUGGCAUAAUUCUAGUGGUGGCAUUGGAUUGCCACUAGAAAAAUGUAAACGAAAAUCUCAAGUGGUUUUGUUUUUGUUGACACUUUUAUUAUUGUUGUUGUUAUUAUUAUUAUUAUUAUAUAUAUUUUUUAUUUUUAGUAUAAGUAGGAGGCCUUGAACUUGAAAUUUCUCAUUUACGCUCCAUCUUCUGUACCAUCCAAUCCAUCUCUCUCUCAAAUUAUCUGUUUUGUUGUUAUUGCAUAACCUAAUUUCUUUGACCUUCAUUUUUUUCCUUUUUAAAUUCCAUUGCAUCGGGGUCUCCCAUGAGAAAACAUUCAAUGUCAAUUUUACCUAAAACAGUUUGAAGACUUUUGCUAGCUUGAAGCUAAACCAUAAAGAUGAAAUGCUUUCUUGCUUUUGACAUCUGAAGAUAUGUGGUAGCAUUACUCAAAAGAAAGGAAAUUAUACUAAAAAAAUCCAUAAACAAGCCAAAUAUGUAUGAUAAAGUUAUGCAGGUCCCCAUUUCGCCUAAACAACGAGAAGAAGAUCAUGCAAAAUACGACAUGUUCUCGGAAGGGUACACGACAAUUAAACCAAUAAAUUUUACAAUUAAUUUGAUGUUACCAUGAAAACCAAUAUGUUAGCAUAGUCUGCAUUACCAACAUCUAACUUGUAUGCUAUAUCUUCACACUGGACUUAAAUGCGUUAAUCAUCAUUAAACUUUAUUUUCAACUUCUUGAGCUAUCUAGACAAAUUUUCAUUUUGUUUAAUUUUCUUAUUUUGGGUUUUCUGGGGGAAGGGGAAAUGGGUGGGACAUUGGAACUGGAGGAAAGGACAAUACGGGGAGAGAGGCAUUCAAACUCCUUUCUGUUGGAUUUGGUAAGUACAUUUUUAUUUAUAGGUCUAACCAAAAAGAGCCCAUAACUAAUUAGUUUACGUACCUAGUCAAAUUUAACUACAGAAAAGAUAACUCAAGUCCUAUGAAUUGAAUGAAUUGAAAUCGCAAGUUGCAUCAGCCUUGUAAAGAAUUGUUCCAACUGCAGGUUUCAUUUCUCGAAACAACAAAUGGUCAAUCACAUUUUUUUCGCUGAAGUGAUGAAGAGAGGGAGAAGAGAGUUGGGAAGAAAAAGAGUAAGAGAGAAAAGUUGUUCUUGACAUUUGUUGGCUUCAAUAGGAUGGUGAAUUGGAAUCCGAUUAAGAUGAAAUUUUAACCACACAAUCCUCUCUCUAAACUCUAACUGUUUAUGGGUUUCGAUUUUAGAUUUCCUCUUCAAUUUUUUUAUUUAAUUUUUUUUAGCAAAUGGAAGGUUUUGAAUUUAAAACAUUCUAUUUACAAUACCUUCCAUCUUAUCACAUAACCCAACUCUCCCCAUUGGAUUUUCUCUUCUAUUUGUAACACAUAGAAUUGCAAACGAGUCAAUUCAAGUUGAACUUUGCCUCAACGAGCCAAACUCGACUUAAUUUUAACUAAGUUCGAACUCAAAUUCAACGAGUUUUUAUUCUAAAAUUCAAACACGAGCUCAAAUAAACUAAAAAUAAUUUUAUAUUUUUCAAAAUGGAUAAAAUUGACAUUUUACCUUAAUAAAUAAUAAAAAUAUAGGGGAUAUACUUUUAAUUUCACUAUUAAAAAUAUAAAAUACUAAAAAUAUAAAAAUUAGAGCUGGCUCGACGAGUUAACAAGCUAAAUAUUUGUGUACUCAACUAAAUUUUACUAGCUUGCAAAACCAGCUCAAACUCAACUCGAGUUCAAUGUUGACUGAGUUUGAGUCGAGUUUUGACUAAGUUGGCCCACUCGUGAUCGCAAAUCAUUUUGAUUAGUUUGCAACCCUAAUAACACCCUUCCAAACUUGCUUCUUAGAAAGUUAUAAUUUUUGAGAGAUGUAUUGUAGUAAAUCCACUUGAUUGAUAUGGUUAAUGUUGUUGUCAUCCAGAUACUUCAGAUAGACUUGUAUAACCCAUUAUUUUUAUAUUGAAAAUUUUUUACUAGACCAGGCCCUGUGUUUUUUCCAAUUUAGAUUUUUCAUGUUAAAAAUCUUGAUGUACUGUGCCUUUUAAUUCUAUACACUUUACUAUUACUGUUGAUAUCGUUACUUGGUGAUUUAGUUUGUUUCUAUUUAACUGGUACUUAAGGAAAAAGUUAUUUAUCCUGGGUUAACUAUGAUAUUAUAUGCUUGUACCGAUACCCUUUUUCCAACAAAGUGGUACCAUAGCAACCAAGUAGGGCUAUUCAUUUGUACUGAUUAAAAUGGAUGAUUUGGACAGUGCAUGUAUGAUUAAAUUAAAUGUAACAAAUUAUUGGACUUGAAAACCUUGAAUGGAAGACUAGGUUGCUAUUGAGUCAAGUCCAACUCAAAUAGCGCAUUGCUCAAUCUCUACUGAAGCGAGAAUACUUGAACUCGAACUCGAACUCGCCGAGUUCAAGCUUAUAUCCUUACUCGAAUUCAAGCUUGAGUUUGAACAAAUCAAGCUCAAUCAAGUUCAAUCGAGUUUUCCUACUCAAUUUUUUAGUAAAUUUCUUAAUUUUAUAAUAAAUAAUUAAAAAUUAUAUUAUAAAUAUACUACUCGAUAAGACUUGAUGAGUACUCAAGUUUUGACUUUUUCUACUCGUACUCAACUCAAUUAUCUUAUCAAGUAGUUCGAACUCUACUCAAACUCAAUCAACGUCGAGUUCAAGUUGACCCUUUGACCGAGUUAUUCACAAGCUAGAGUCGAGUAGUUUGAUUAAUUUAUAUUUAUACUCCUAUGGAAAACUACUUAUAUUGUAAAAAUUUGUUUGAACAUGUUCUAGGAGAUAAGGCUUGGUACGAGUGAUGAAAAGUGAGCUAUUAUGCAUAGAAAAACUAUUAGUAAUAUUAGAAAGUGGAUUGAUCAAAAUAUACUCCAACUCCUUGCUAAUGACAUUAGAGUUGAUGUACUGUGAAAGAAGUUUGAAAGCAUGUAUGAAAGGAAAAUCAAUUUAAACAAGUCCUCUUGUCUGAAACAGAUUACGUGGAUAAGAUACAAAGAUAGUGCAAAUAUGAUUGAGCACUUGAGUAAUUUUCAAGAUUUGAUGAAUCAAGCAACUACAGUGACCUUGAACUUAAAUAAUGAUGUGCAGGCUUAGUUGUUGUUCAGUUCACUACUAAAUACUUGAGAAACAAUAGUGAUCUUUGUCAGUAAUUUAUCUUCGAAUGGUGUGUUGACCAUAACCAUAGCAAAAGUGGCUAUGAUGAAUAAAGAGCUUAGGAGAAAAGAAUAAGGAAUUGAAUGAGUCUUAACUCCUAAUAACAAAAAAGAAAGAAAGAAGGGGGAGAAACAAGAGCAGUGGACCCACAUAGGAAUGACAAAUCCAAAUAUAAGUUUGAGUCAUAGAGAAAUAAUGAAUGCUGCUAUUGCACAAAAAAAAAAGGGUAUUACAUAAAACAAUGCAAAAUUUUGAAAUGGGAACUUAUUGAAAGAAAGGGCAAAGACAAGGCGAAAGAAAAAAAAUAAAGAAGAGACUAUAGCAGCUGUGGCUACCCAUGAUAAUAUGUUUGUGUUCCAUAAGAUGAUCAUGUCAAUAUCAAUCGUAAGAUAGUAACUAAGAAAUUGACUCGAGUGUAUCCAACCAUAUUGCCCCCCUUAAGCAUUUCUUCUCAAUCUAAAGUGAAGGAGAUUUUGGCUAUGUUAUGAUGGGAAAUGAAGUGUCAAGCAAAGUUGUUAGUAUGGGAGACAUAUAUUUGGAUAUAAAUAUUGGAUGCCAACUAGUUUUGAGAAAUGUUGGAUAUGUUGCUAAAGGGGGCAACAUAGAAACUCAACAAAGGAUAUGUCGUUGCUAAAUGGGACAUAUAACUCUCUAGAUGAAAGCAAUGGAAGCUCAACAAAGGAUAUCUCAUCGUUGCCAAAGGAAAGAAACAUAGUACCCUGUAUUUGAUGCAAAUCAAGUUAAGGAAGAGAGAAGUGAAUGCGGCUCAUAAUUCUUCCAUUAAACUUUAGCAUAGACAACCUGGACACAUUCAGACACUUGUUUGAAAGCAACUCCUACUUGAAGUAAGAGGUAAUGCACUUAAAUAUUGUAUUAAUUGCAUUUAUGGGAAAUAACAUAGAGUUGUAUUUCAAAAUUUUUCUCCAUCUAGAAAGUUGAUAUCUUAUCGAUGCUAAAGGAAAGAAAUAGAAUAUCAAAUUAAUUUGAGGAAGAGAGAGGUGAAUGCAGCUCAUGAUUCUUCCACUGACCUUUGGCACAAAUGACUUGGACACAUGAGUAAAAAGGGAUUCAAACACUUGUUUGGAAGCAACUUCUACCUGAAGUAAGAGGUAAUGCACUUAAAUAUUGUGCUAACUGCGUUUAUGGGAAAUAACAUAAACUUGCAUUUCAAAAUUUUUCUCCAUCUAGAAAAUUGAAUCUAUUAGAGUUGGUGCUAGUGCUAUUUACUUUGUAACUUUUAUUAAUGACUUUAUUAGGAAAGUUUAGUGUUUUGCUUUGAAAUCUAAAGACUAAGUCUUGAAAUUAUUCAAAGACUUUUAUAGCAAAGUUGAGAAAGAGACUGACAAAUAGUUGAAGUAUAUUCAUGCUGACAAUGGUUGUGAGUACAGGGGACCAUUUGAAAGUACUACAAGUCCUAUAGAAUCAAACGAGAGAAAACAGUACCAAAGACUCCUCGAGAGAAUAUGACGGAAGAGAGGAUGAAUAGAUCUAUUACUAAGUGGAUCAAAUAUAUGCUCUCUAAUGCCAAGCUACCAAAAUCCUUCUUGGGUGAAGGAACAAGGACUAAGUUGAUUUGAUCAAACUUUCUCCUUCAGUACCUUUGAGUAGUGAUAUCUCAGAGAGAAUAUGGACAAGUAAGAGGGUCUUUCAAAAAAAUUUGGGAUUCUUUUUGUUACCAAGUAUUUGUUUAUAUUCCCAAAAUUGAGAGGUCAUAACUUGAUGCCAAAUCUAAGUAGUGCAUUUUCUUGGGUUAUAGGCAUGAAGAGUUUGGCUAUAGACUAUAUGGUCCUAAAAUAAGUUAAUUAGAAGCAGAAAUGUUGCCUUAAAGACAUUGAUAAAGUUGAUAGGCUAAGAUCCUUAGAUGACUUUCAUGCUAGUCGAAUCUAGUUCCAAUAUAGGUGAUUUUGAUCAUGAGAGAGCUGAAACAGAGUAGAGAGAGGAUAUUAUUGAUGAUGAUCUUGCUACUAAUAAACUUGAGUAAGAGGCAUCGUCAACACAUCAUCACCAUAAGAUGAGCCUAAGAGGUGUACUAGAGAGAGUAGGCCUUCUAACAGGUAUAAUGCUAAUGAACUUGUGUUGCUGAUAGAUUAAGGAGAGCCAAAGUCCUAUAGUAAGACUCUAGAGUAUGACAAGAAAGAAGAAUGGUUGCAAGCCAUGCAAUAGGAGAUGGUGUCCUUGCAUGAGAAUCAUAUAUAUGACUUGAUCAAGCUGUUUGAGGGCAAGAGAGCACUGAAAAAUAAAUUAAUCUAUAGGUUAAAAACUUAAGAGAAUAGUUCACAACCAAAGUACUAAGCAAAAUUGGUUGUGUAGGGAUUUGAACAAAAGAAAUGAAUGGACUUUAACAAAAUUUUCUCUCAUGUGGUAAAGAUAUCGUCAAUCCAAGUUUUUGGUGUUGCAACUAGCUUGAAUUUAGAGAUUGAAUAACUUGAUGUCAAUAUAAUCUUCUUACAUGGUGAUUUGGAAGAAAAAAUUUACAUGCAACAAUCAAAGGGGUUCAAAAAAAGUGGUAAAGAGAACCUUGUAUGCCAUCUUAGGAAGAGGUUGUAUGGACUUAAACAAGCAUCGAGAUAAUAGUACAAGAAGUUUGACUUCAUCAUGACAAACUAUGAGAACUAUAGGACUACAUUUGAUUAUUUUGUCUAUAUGAAGAACUUUUCAAAUGGUGAUUUUAUUAUUCUCUUACUGUAUAUUGAUGACAUUUGAUUGUUGGCUGUGACGUCAUAAAGAUUGAUAGGUUAAAAAAGGAAUUAAGCAAAUCCUUCGCAAUGAAAGAUUUGAUUGUCUCAAGAAAAGUAUAUUAACAAAAUACUUGACAAGUUUAACAUGAGCAAGGCUAAGGAUACUCUACUUGUAGGUCACUUCAAGUUAAACAUCAAACAAUGUUCUACAAGUAAGAAAGGCAAAGAAUGUUGGAAUGUAUGCCCUAAAACAAUGUAUUUGUUUUUAUUUUAUACAUUCCUUAUUAUAUGUUUUGUAUUUUAAUAACUUCUUAUUUAUCUGUUAAAUAUUAGAUACAACCGAUAAAGUCCUUAUAAUAUUACUAAUGUGAUGAUAGUCACAAGAGUUGGUGACUAUGAGAUAUCAAUCACAUUUAUAGUAAUAUUAUUAAAAUUCCCUAGUUUUUGUACUAAUGAAAUAGAACAUCUUUAGUACGGUAAAACUAGUACACAGUUAGCCUCUAAUUAAUGUAAUUAGUGGUUGUUCUCAUCAACUAUGGUAUGAAGAUACUUAGGCUAAUGUGUAGAUGAUUUGAAAAGUACAAAUGCAUUGGAGUGAUCCGUUUAGAGAUCCCGUUAGGAUAUCUAUCUAGUGCCAAUGGUGUAUCUCUAGUGAAAAAUUGUGUAAGUGAUCCUACGACUUGAGAUCACCAUAGAAUCUUGAGUGGGAAUCACUACAUUUUGACUCUAAUUACUUGUUACUCUUUGAGAGUGCCUUAAAGUGUAGAAGUUGGAUGUAGUGUGAAGCACGUAAAGAAAAUGGGUGAUCAAGAUAGGAUUUACCACUCUGAUAGAAGGAGUUGAUAUCCGGAUGGCCACUAGUGAGAAAUUAACCCUAAAGUCGAUUGUUAGGUAAAUUGAAGAAUGUCUUCAAUUUAACCUAAUUAAGGGUAAAUUUCGGGAACUAGAAAAUUUAAUUAGUCAUCAGGGAAUUGGCACUUAUUCCUUAUUCCUGACUAAUUGGAUAUCUUUGGUAAAAGGAUAAUAAUUACACAGUAAUUUUUCACGGAAAGGUUAGGUCAAGUUCCCUUGACUAAUUCCGAAUAAUUGGGCAAUCACGAUGUGUUGCUAGACACCGCUCGUGAUUUAUAAUUAUUGAUUAAUUAUCUAUUAUAAGUUAUGAUAAAAUAAAGUCGUUUAUUUUAUCUAAUUAUUAAACCAUAAUUAUUACCAAUGCAUUCGGGACCUAUUGGAUCACACGCAAUAGAGAUUUAAUCCUGGAUUGAAACUAUGUGAAUUAUCGGGGUUUAAUUUUAAAAGAAAAUUAAUCCCAGGCCUAUUUGAGUAGAUAAGAGUAAAUGGUUAUCUCUUAUUUAUCAGAUAAUGAUAGAUAGAGUAUUGGGUGAUGAGAAGUCUUAUGGUUUUGAUUUUGAAUCAGACAAGAAGACUUAUCAUUAUAUAUCAUCAUAUAUCUCUCUCAUCAUAGGGCUCUCGGGUUUUUUCCAAUUGAUUUUUGGGGGCUGAUAUAUAGAUACUAAAAACCGAAGUUUUGUGAUUGUCAAACACAAAAGAGAGAAAUAUAUACGUUUGAAAAGAGUAAAAAAGGCUAGCACCUUUUUCUCUUCUAUACAUAGUUCGUGAGACGAUCCAGGGUUGCUCUAGCGUGGAUAUCAGUAGAGGCAGGACGAUUGGACUGCUCAAGGGCUGACCAUCCUCAAACAACGCUGCAGGGAGACGCCGCUUGGAUUAAGGUAAUCUUAAAACCCUACUUCUAGUACAUCAUACGUAAAAUCUAGGGUGAUUCCUGGAUGGUUUUAGGGAAAAUUUUUUAUUUUUCCGCUGCGUAGUAUCCCUAAAACCCAACAAAGAAGACAUGAAAAAGGUUUCUUAUGACAUUGGCCACAGAUGUGCAAUGAGAGAUUUCAAACCCAUUUCUAUUAUGGGUAUAGUCUUUUUUCUAAAUUAGGUCCUAGAUGAGGCUUGUAGAGAGAAAUUUCAUACAAUAACAAAAUGAUAAAGAAAAAUAAGGAUUUCCUUGUCUAAUUCUCUAGUUGGAUCAAUUUGAUCAUAUAUGGAUGCAUUUAUAAGCACAACUAUUUUAAAAGCAAGCCUCUGGGUUACGAAGUUAACUCAAUUGUUGCCACACCAAAGAUUGUGAAUUCUUUUUUACGAUUUUGCUAUUAAAUAUGUGAAUCAAGAGCAUCUUUUAGAUUAACAAGUUAGUUCAAUCACUACUCCAUCAAAGAUUGCGAAUUCUUUGCUACCUUUUACCAUGAAAUCUAGUGUUCAGAUAAUUUUUUGGUUUGUAAAGGAAAAAGUUGACCCAAAUUAGCUUUGCUAUCAAUUUCAUUCAUUAACUUUCUCUCUUUUCUAGAGAGAGACUUUCCCCCGAGUUGGUGUUCAAAAUAGUUUAAUAUUCUCGGAAAUCCCAAAAUAGUAAAGAUCCAAAUAUCUUAAAUUUCUUAAACCUAUUAUUUGCUUAGAUUACAAGAUAGAUAUCAUUCAUUCUGGUUUUGACAAUCUAGAAUCAUUACAAAUAGGAUCUCUGAUGUUGGGUUAUGGUUAAUUUUAGCAAGAGCACUGAAGAAAAAAGAUGCCUAGAACCAAGCUCAAGCAUCUAAAGUAACCUCCCAUCUAUCCUUUUCAAUCCAUUAUGUUUAUUUUUUACUGGCUAAUUUGUGAUAUACUUGUAAGUAGUAGGUUCUCUAUUUAAUUAUGUUGUUCAUCUUUUACUUGCUAUUCAGUUUUUACUUGUUGGACCAUUAAUUGUGCUGGUCGCUCAAAUUAUUUUCUCGCUUUUCCAAAUUAGUUUCGGACCUACUAUUUUUGUUGUGCUUGUUCAGUGGCUGCUCUGGUUUGGAUUUGUGUGGAUUGCUCCAAUCAUGGAGGAUCUGGAGAAUUUUAUGAAAUGAUUCACGCUCAUUGAAACUGAAUAGAAUGGGAUUUUAUUAGAUGAGUUGGAUAUUGAGAGUGAUAGAAAGGAAUGUAAUCUUCGCCUAAUUGGGAAAAUAAAAGGGCACAAAGUGGCUAAUAUGGUAGGAACUAAAAGCUCUGCUAAUAAUAUGUGAAACUUCCCAAAAAAUUUGGAAGAGUGGAACUACGACCAAACUUCUUUCAAUUUACCUUUCAAUCCUACCAAGAAUUGGAAAAAGUCUUAGGAGACAGACCUUGGAUUUAUGAUGGAUAGCCUUUAGUCCUAGUGAAGUGGAGAGAGGGGAUAGAAUCUGAGGAAAAAGCCUUCAAUAGAUCCCUGAUGUGAGUUCAAAUGUGGAACUUGCCAAUGUAUUGGAUUGCUAUAGAAGUAGGAAAGAAAAUAGGUGGCAUCUUUAGCUUUGUUAGAGAGGUUAUUGUUCUCACAAAAGAAAGUAAAGAAGAGACGCAUAUUAAGAUUCAAGUGAAGGUGGAUUUAUCCAAACCCUUUCUUAGGGAAACAACCAUAAGACUUGAUAGAACACUAAAAUGAAUAGUAUUCAAAUAUGAAAAGUGUCCUGACUUUUGUUACUAUUAUGGUAGAUUGGGUCAUAAUGAGAAAAACUGCAAUCUGAAAGGAAUCAAUUUAGAGAAAAACACCUAGUUAGAGGGGUGGAUAAGGGUUAGCUAUCCUAGAAACCCAACUAGGAAAACAAAAGGAAAGCCACCAAAUACCACUAUUGAAAAUAGGGGGAUAAUAUAGAGAAUGCUAGAGUCCAAAAACAAUUUUUGAUAACAUACCAUGGGGAAAACUCUAGAGGAUUAAACAAGUUUAGGGAAUGAAGAUUUGUACAAAGGAAGAGAUGUCAAAAACUCAAGGAGAAUGUACGAAUGUCCAAAGUAGAGAUAAUGGUGAACCUAUUCCUGUAACAGACAAUGAGACUGGCCAAAUGUCAAUUUUGAAGAGUUUUUAUCAGGAUGAUAGAGAGGUCAACAAGGAGAGGAAUAUGUAUAAUGUUAGUUGUGAUAGUAUAUGGAUUGGUGGUAGUAGAGAGAAGAGAGGAGAUUAGAAACUUGCGCUAGACCAAAACAUAAAAAGAAAAGAGAUUAUUAUGAGUAAAAACAUUGAAGUGAAUGGUAGAUCAGGGAAAAAAUAGAAGUUCAAUGGAGGAAUAGCAUGGAAAAGACUAGUAAAAAAGGUAGGGAGUAGGAAACCAUUAGAUGAUAUUAGCACACUACAACAAAAAAGCCCUAUUUAGAUCCUCUAUCAAGACCUUAAGAAGUGAGUGUCAUAAUAAAACAACAUAGACCAAGUACUAUUAUUUUGCUUUAUUUAUUUUUAAAUUAAAAAAUAUGAGGUGUCAAAUUAGGAUAGCUAUUGUGGCAUUGGGUGUAAAUGUUAGCAAAAGCCACAACCUUAAAGGCAACAGCCAAUUGGUGGUAAAGUUGGGCAUUGCUUCUCCCCUGAUCAUAGGUUUUAUUCUUUUCCCACUCUUCUCUCUCAAUCUCACUUGGUGCUAUCCCUUUUUUUGGGCGAUAAGAUAAGUUUUCCUUUUCAAUCGUACAAUUUUGCCAUCCUUUGCUCUCUAUCUUACUUCAACAUCCCACCCCUCUCUCUCCUUUUGAUUCUUUACUUGCAAAGGAUCAAAAUUUUGUGGGUUUAACUUUUCCUCAUGAUAUUUUCUUCAUACAACGAAGACAAAUUGUACAGUGUGUGCCAUUUUCUUCAAACUCUUUGUAGUCAUCCCAAGCCUAUGAUGUCUUGGUUCUUUUUGAAAUCUAAAAUGUGUCUUCUCCUUUGUCUCCCUCAGCAGUUUGUACAUUAUUUUCAGUCUCCAAAGUUCGUGUAGGUUCUUUAUUUGUUAAAGGAGCAUUUUUGGGUCUGAAUAGUGGUCCUUCAAUUGCUUGCUUUUUGUUGUCAUUACUUACCGCAAUUGGUCUGUCCAACUAACACGGAGUAGAUGAAUCAGCAGUAGAGGCAUAAUGAUGCAUGAUUGAACACACUUCCUGUGGACUGGUAGACAUCCCUAUAAUAGAUAGUAGUGAAGUAGAUUUUGAUAUUUUAGACUCUUAAGUCUUUAAAGCUAUCAAAAGAACAUUUUCAAUGCUAAUGUGAUCAAUUUUAUGGCAACCUAAGUACCUAAGAAUCAGUUACACUUUUCUUAGCUUUGUGUUGUUAUUUAACACUUAUCAUACAUUUGCUAAGCAUUUUCUCAACAACUAGCCAACUAGAACAGUCAAGAAACUAAGAACUAAAGCCAAUAUAUGAUGUCUCCAUUUAUAAACAUAUGUAUGAUGAGCCACAUCUUUUGCCCAAGCAUUUUCUCAAUAUUUGGUGUCACAAUUUAUAACCAAAUGUAAACCAAGGCAUUGACCAUACCAUUUACCACAGAUAACCACUAAAUCCACAACUCAAACAAGGAUAGCUCCAAUAGUUCAUUUAUCUAACAGCAAUUUAUUUAAAAAAAUAACUAACCAUUAACCAUCCUCAACAAAUAACAACUAGUGAUAUUUAGUCAGCAAAAACAAAAAAGGGACACCAAGUAAAAGCAGAACAAAAUGCUGCUUACCUACUCAUCCUACUCUUGCAACGGAUUCCAAAGCACUUGUCGAAGUGCCAAGUUCUUUUUGCAUAUUUCCUUGAUGGUCUUCCUUGCUUUCCCUCGAGGCUCAAGCUAUCAAAACCUCAAUUUUAGCCGCUAUAAAUAAUGAAUUAAAACCCCCAAUUUCAGAAUUUAGGGUUUGAAGGGAUGGAAAUUAGAGCAAAUACAGUAAUAAACAAUCAUUCAUUACUUGUUUCGGUUAAUGAAUAAAGAUCAAGAGAGCAAGGUCAGUAAUAGUGAAUUUCACAACUUAAGGUUUGUGCUUUCCUAAUUCCUAAAAUUGAAUCUCUCAGCAGAAUCAAUUCCUUAAUAGUGAAUUUCACAACUUAAGGUUUGAAGCUCAAGCUCAAAGAUGGAUUUCAAUUUUCAUAUGGG
rnacentral:lncRNA from 1 species